UCUAAGGUGACUGCCGGUGACAACCGGAGGAAGGUGGGGAUGACGUCGAAUCAUCAUGCCCCUUAUGACCUGGGCUACACACGUGCUACAAUGGGUGGUACAAAGGGCAGCAAAGCCGCGAGGCCGAGCGAAUCCCAUAAAGCCACUCUCAGUUCGGAUUGCAGGCUGCAACUCGCCUGCAUGAAGCCGGAAUUGCUAGUAAUCGCGGAUCAGCAUGCCGCGGUGAAUACGUUCCCGGGCCUUGUACACACCGCCCGUCACACCACGAGAGCUUGUAACACCCGAAGUCGGUGAGGUAACCUUUUGGAGCCAGCCGCCGAAGGUGGGACAGGUGAUUGGGGUGAAGUCGUAGA
rnacentral:rRNA from 1 species